GAAACAACUUUAACACCAAUAACAUCAAAGGAAAAGAUGAACCAAAAUAUAACCACAAACCCACCUUCAACAAAACUAAGAGGCUGGUUGAGGUUCCUCAUCGUGUCUGUGGGUUUAACUGCACUCAUAAUAAUCGUUGUGUCAGUCAACAUCUGGACGAGAACUAAAGGGAAGAAAACACAGAUC